rnacentral:rRNA from 1 species
GAAACAUCUUAGUAACCUGAGGAAGAGAAAGCAAAAUUAGCGAACCCCCCAGUAGCGGCGAGCGAACCGGGGCGAGCCCAAACCGCGUACGUGUUAAAGCCUGCCGGCGUUGCGUAUGCGGGGUAGUGGGAGAUAUCCGGAGGUAGCGGCAGUAACUUCGGGGAGACAAUUCGACCUUAGAAGAAUUCGGCUGGAAAGCCGAGCCACAGAGGGUAAAAGCCCCGUAUUCGAAAAGGUCGUAUUGGCCCUGGGAUAUCAUCCCAAGUACCGCGGGACACGUGGAACCCCGUGGGAAUUCGCGAGGACNNNNNNNNNNAAGAGGGUGAAAGUCCCGUAAACGAAAUUGCGACUUCUCCGAUUGAGAAGAGUACGGCGAGGCAAGUGGAACCUUGUCGGAAGAGGGGAGGACCAUCUCCCAAGGCUAAAUACUACCUAGUGACCGAUAGUGAACCAGUACCGUGAGGGAAAGGUGAAAAGCACCCCGGAAGGGGAGUGAAAUAGAACCUGAAACCGUAAGCCUACAAACAGUCGGAGCACUAUUCGGUCGUUGGUCGUCAGUGGUCAGUAGUCGGAUUAGGGUUAGAAUUUAGGGUUUUGAGUAACCCGGAAGGAAGACCCGAGAGUCCGGCGACUGAUUACCGACGACUGACGACUGAAGUGUGACGGCGUACUUUUUGUAGAACGGGCCAGCGAGUUACUGUUGCAGGCAAGGUUAAGGGAGCGAUCCCGGAGCCGCAGCGAAAGCGAGUCUUAACCGGCGCCAUAGUCUGCAGUAGUAGACCCGAAACCGAGUGACCUACCCAUGUCCAGGGUGAAGCGCCAGUAAAAUGUCGUGGAGGCCCGAACCGACCGUCGUUGAAAAGGCGGCGGAUGAGGUGUGGGUAGAGGUGAAAUGCCAAUCGAACUCGGAAAUAGCUGGUUCUCCCCGAAAUAGCUUUAGGGCUAGCCUCGGGUUAUAGAGAGACGGGGGUAGAGCACUGGUUGGGCUAGGGGCCUUCACCGGUUACCGAACCCAUUCAAACUCCGAAUACCGUUUUCUCGUUACCCGGGAGUCAGACUACGGGUGCUAAGAUUCGUGGUCAAAAGGGAAACAGCCCAGACCGUCAGCUAAGGUCCCCAAGUUAGACUAAGUGGAAAAGGAUGUGGAGCUGCACAAACAGCCAGGAUGUUGGCUUAGAAGCAGCCACCAUUUA